rnacentral:lncRNA from 1 species
GUCAGAUGUGUUCUGAGUAGAUUUAUUAACAAACACACGUUAGAGACACUUUUUGUAACACUCACAUAGAAAAAGCAGAUACUGUCCACUUGAAACUUUUAUAAUGUAUUGUUUUCUUCUGCGAAGCAAGGUUAAGAUCAGCACUUUGUUAAAAGCACAUUCAUACGUAAAGUCCAUUAGAACAGAUAUUGCAAAAUGAAUGCACGUGCAUGGGGACAGAACGUCUUUGUGAAAAGUCUUGGUGAUAAUCUUGGUAAAGGGGCUGAAUGCUGGGGGAGACCACGUCUCUUACA